rnacentral:antisense_RNA from 1 species
UUCCAUGGCGGGCGAUGUGUGGGGAUCCUGAUCCGCCGGCUUUUUUGGGAAUCAUCACCGGUAUGCCAACCCGCAUCGCCCGCCACCUCG